AGUUCACAGGAUGUUGGAAACGGGAUUAUAUCUGAAAAUGCAAACGUACCACGCGUAUUCCUGGAUGUCUUCUCUGCUGUGCAGUGAGCUUCCCUGUUCCAAGCUUAUCCUACUCGUAACCUUGCAGUGUCUGCGGCACAAAGUGGGUGAGCAGGAAGCUGCGCAGUUGGAGCAAACACCGGGAGCCGGGGCCACACAGCCGGGCCCCCCAACCCUGGCCUCAUCCCUGAGGCAACGAGCCCCCAGCCAGAGAGGCGGGGCCACGCUGCAGGUGCUGUGCAGACACUGGAGUAGCCACGAAGGAGGUGCUGCCUGCCGGGCUGCUGGCUGCUGCCCUGACCCUGCCUGCCUUCCCGAGCCUCGGGCCCAGAUCCCGUGGCCGGCUGGUUCACUUGGGGGGGAAGGGGCUGCACUCCUGGAAGCGCCCCACAUCCUGCGGCCCGUCGGGCUGGGUGAGAAUGAGGACUGCUCCACACGACCCGCUUCUCCCUUUUGGCAAAGCAGCUGCAGAUCUGCCCGAUGGGGGCACCCUCUGAGGGAGGCUGGCGCGCUUCUGGUGCCCUCCUGCGCCUGGGGCUCAACAAAGCCUGACCCCCUCCGCCGCCCAGAUGAUGUCCUCCUUCGCCCGAGGCAGCAGCCCGUCUCUAGUGCUCCCCUUCCCCUCGGGCCUGGAGAAAGGAGCCUGUGGCUACCUGGAGACUGGUCUGUACCUGACCACGGCCCCUACUGGUUGGUGUUGCCCUGCAGGGCCUUGGGGUGGAGCAGGCCCUCUGCAGACCUAAAACCCUGUCCGAACCCUUUGGGGGGCACCGGGACGGUCCUCUCUGCCGGGUGCCAGUCUCAUUCAGGGCUUCCCCUGAGAUGCCUCUUACCACCCCUACCCUCUGCCUCAGGCUGUCCUCAGAGGCCCUCUGAAGGCCCCUUCAACGGGUCACCUGGGGGGGGUCAGCGCUUGAGCGUCUGCCUUUGGCUCAGGCCAUGACCUAAGGGGUCCUGGGAUCGAGUCCUGCAUCGGGCUCCCUGCAGGGAGCCUGCUUCUCCCUCUGCCUGGGUCUCUGCCUCUCUCACGAAUAAAUUAAUAAACAAAAUCUUAAAAAAAAAUAAA
rnacentral:lncRNA from 12 species